AAGAUCUACUACCCCCACCCCAGCGACGCCACAAAGUUCAUCCAGUGCGACUUGCUGGGACGCAUGUACAUCAUUCAAUGUCCCAAGGGCCUGACCUACAAACCCACCACCUCAUCUUGUACCUCUGUCAAUGCCCCAGUCCCCACCACAAUGGCUCCUCCUCCCACCACGCAUGCGCCAGUUGUCAUUCCGGUUGUCACAUCUAAACCUACUUCUAACCCAUGCACUUCUACGAACCUUGCACAGGGAAAUAUCUACUUUGCCUACGCCUUCGAUAAGUACCGAUUUAUUGAAUGUGAUCUUCUCGGAAACGCCAAUAUCUUGAGCUGUCCGUCUGGUUUGGUUUGGGAGCAGAGUCGCUUGUCUUGUGUAUACGACAUCGGAACGGAUAACGUUGUACCCAACCCUGCCGGAACCGGAACUGGCACCGGAACCGGAACUGGCACCGGAACUGGCGGCGCCGUGAAUCUGGAGACCGUCUGCGCUUCACCUGGAUCCACAGUAACUACCACAGACGAUUUGUUCCAUCCUUAUCCAGGAGACAAGACCAAGUUCAUCCAGUGCGAUCUCUGGGGUCAGGCCAAUGUCGUAGACUGCCCGACUAACCUCUACUGGAACAAUUCCGCCAAGACGUGCGCUGCUCCUUACGUGGUUAACGGACUCCCUGCUCAAUCUCUUACUGGCUAACUUAGGGACUGCAUACUUAUUCUAGGUUAUGAAAUUGACGUAUAGGUUUAUAAUAUAUGUACUUAAUGAUCACACACAUCGAUGGACCAUAUCUCUCUUCUUUUCUCUGUAACUCAGGAAAUGUCUUGUUUGCUUACAUCAUGCAAUAAAUUAAUAUCUUAU
rnacentral:misc_RNA from 1 species